GACGAACGCUGGCGGCGUGCCUAAUACAUGCAAGUCGAACGCAGUGGGGACGGGUGAGUAACACGUGGGUAAGCUCCCAUCAGGGGGGAUAACACUUGGAAACAGGUGCUAAACCGAUACUGCUGGAUGAACCCGGGGUGCAUUAGCUAGUGGGGGGGGGAAGGGCUCACCAAGGACACGAGGCAUAACUGACCUGAGAGGGGGAUCGGCCACACUGGAACUGAGACACGGCCCAGACUCCUACGGGAGGCAGCAGUAGGGAAUCUUGGGCAAUGGACGAAAGUCUGACCGAGCAACGCCGCGUGAGUGAAGAAGGUUUUCGGAUCGUAAAGCUCUGUUGGUAGGGAAGCGGUAUCUAACCAGAAAGCAACGGCUAACUACGUGCCAGCAGCCGCGGUAAUUC
rnacentral:rRNA from 1 species